UACGGGGGGAGCAAGCGUUGUUCGGAUUUACUGGGCGUAAAGGGCGCGUAGGCGGCCAGCACAAGUCAGUUGUGAAAUCUCCGAGCUUAACUCGGAAAGGUCAACUGAUACUGUGCGGCUAGAGUGCGGAAGGGGCAACUGGAAUUCUUGGUGUAGCGGUGAAAUGCGUAGAUAUCAAGAGGAACACCUGCGGCGAAGGCGGGUUGCUGGGCCGACACUGACGCUGAGGCGCGAAAGCCAGGGGAGUGAACGGG
rnacentral:rRNA from 1 species